rnacentral:rRNA from 1 species
UGGGGAAUCUUGGACAAUGGGCGCAAGCCUGAUCCAGCCAUGCCGCGUGUGGGAUGAAGCGCCUUCGGCGUGUAAACCACUGUCAGGGAAUGGAACCAAUGAUUAUUCCCAAAGGAAGUGGCGACUAACUCUGUGCCAGCAGUCGCGGUAAUACAGAGGCCACAAGCGUUAGUCGGAAUCACUGGGCUUAAAGGGUGCGUAGGCGGGCCCGCAAGCGUCUUGUGAAAUCCCAUGGCUCAACCAUGGAAUUGCAGGGCGAACUGCGGGUCUUGAGGCAGGUAGGGGCCGGAAGAACAGUAGGUGGAGCGGUGAAAUGCGUAGAUAUCUACUGGAAUGCCGAUGGGGAAGCCGUCCGGCUGGGCCUGUCCUGACGCUGAGGCACGAAAGCGUGGGGAGCAAACAGGAUUAGAUACCCGUGUAGUCCCUGAGCGGGCUGGCAAGGCGCAU